CUUUAAGAAGAAUACGACUUUCCAGGCGGGGCUGAAGACGCUGGAGGCAGGAUGACCAUGCAGAGGCAGAAGGAAUGAGGCCGUGCAGGUGGAUCUGACUGCUGCACAUGAGGCACGUCGGUCCCAAAGAAGCCCUGCGAUGACGAGCAGAGCCUUUUGUUGUGCUCUGACUCAGAGGAGGCCGCUGCUCCCAGCACAGGAUUCGUCAGGUACUUGACCACGAAAUGCUGUGAAAACGAAAGGAGCUGCUGAACAUGAGCGGGCGCUUUCACACGGCUUUUGACUCACCUUUGGCUCCAAAACCAGAAUCUGCUUCUAAUUGAUCACUACAGUCCUGUCAUGAGCCGAACACCUCCCGCUUCACGU
rnacentral:lncRNA from 1 species